GUUUGUUUGGAGCUAUAAAUGAUCUGGCCUGCCCCCUGAUUUAUAUUAAAGGGCCGCAGUAUUGUAACUGUGCAAAGGUAGCAUAAUCAUUAGGUUUUUAAUUGGAAUCUUGUAUGAAUGGUCGGACGAAAGGAAGACUCUCUUUAAAUUAAUUUUGAAUUUAACUUUUAAGUGAAAAGGCUUAAAUAAUCUAAAGGGACGAUAAGACCCUAUAAAACUUUACAUUGCUAUUAUAUUUAGUUUAAUUUACAAAUAAAGAUUUAAUGUAAUUAUUUGUUACAUUGGGGAGAUGUAGGUAUAAUAAUAUUAACUGCUUAGUAGUAACACAAUUAUUAAUGAGUUUAAUAAAAGAUCCUUUCUUAAGAUCGACAGAUUAAGUUACUUUAGGGAUAACAGCGUAAUUUCUUUUGAGAGUUCCUAUCGAAGGGGAAGAUUGCGACCUCGAUGUUGAAUUAAAAUAUCUAUAUAAUGGAGAAGUUAUAUAAGAAGGUCUGUUCGACCUUUAAAAUUUUACAUGAUUUGAGUUCAAACCGGUGUGAG
rnacentral:rRNA from 1 species